UGGGGAAUUUUGGACAAUUGGGCGAAAGCCUGAUCCAGCAAUGCCGCGUGUGUGAAGAAGGCCUUCGGGUUGUAAAGCACUUUUGUCCGGAAAGAAAUCCUUGGCUCUAAUACAGUCGGGGGAUGACGGUACCGGAAGAAUAAGCACCGGCUAACUACGUGCCAGCAGCCGCGGUAAUACGUAGGGUGCAAGCGUUAAUCGGAAUUACUGGGCAUAAAGCGUGCGCAGGCGGUUUGCUAAGACCGAUGUGAAAUCCCCGGGCUCAACCUGGGAACUGCAUUGGUGACUGGCAGGCUAGAGUAUGGCAGAGGGGGGUAGAAUUCCACGUGUAGCAGUGAAAUGCGUAGAGAUGUGGAGGAAUACCGAUGGCGAAGGCAGCCCCCUGGGCCAAUACUGACGCUCAUGCACGAAAGCGUGGGGAGCAAACAGGACUAGAUACCCUGGUAGUCCACGCCCUAAACGAUGUCAACUAGUUGUUGGGGAUUCAUUUCCUUAGUAACGUAGCUAACGCGUGAAGUUGACCGCCUGGGGAGUACGGUCGCAAGAUUAAAACUUAAAUGAAUUGACGGGGUCAUAGCUGUUUCCU
rnacentral:rRNA from 1 species